rfam:Hordeum vulgare subsp. vulgare, WGS project CAJW01000000 data, contig: morex_contig_1571196
UAAGUAAUCCCUCCGUCCGAAAUUACUUGUCGCACAAAUGUAUAAAAAUGGUUGUAUCUAGAACUAAAAUACAUCUAGAUACAUCUGUUUCUAUGACAAGUAUUUUUGGACGGACGGAGUAUAAU